GACAGCCUGCCAGAAACUGAGGCUACUUUCCUUCCACCCUCUAAUCUUCUGCUAUUCGCUCCACUUGCUGAACUCAGCUGGAAUCCAGUGGCCAAGGGAGCCUGCUGAUGCAAUCCCUACAAGGGCAGCUCUUGGGGCACAGAUCAGGGGUGAAAUGGAGACAAGAUCUGGAUGGGCAAAGGAAGGAGAUCCAGCUCACGUUUCAAGGGGUGAAGAAUGGAGAAAAAUCAAAGAACAGCACAUGCAACGAUGCAUUGGUGAUCUCCUUCCUGCUAACCCUGUGGCCAAGAACACAAAGCAAACACGACCCCCAACAGAGAAGGCAGGGGAGGAGCCCACCAGUCAAACCAGCAUUCCCUAGUCCCCGCCUGAUCAUUGAACAGACUUGAGGGGGCGCAGCAUCUUUUACCUGGUCUCAGAAUUUCUGCCAGUCUUGGCAUGUUGGGGGCUUGGGAGGUUGCAUUUUGGGUUUUGUUUUAUGGCUUAAUCUGGACCUCAAUUCAGUCAAGUCAAUGAGAGCAGGGACAGUCCCCAGUCACCAUCUCAGGACCAUGGCAAAAUGUAAUGAGCUUUUUCAGGAAUUUAAAGUACUCACAGAAGGGCCUUCUGCAAAAAUGAAGCAUGACCCAAUGAGUGUAGCCCAGCGCAGUGAGGGUGGACAACUUCAAGGCCAUUGUUUUUCAGGGGGCUGUGGCAGCCAAGAGUUGCUGGGCCCUGUACAACCGUCAAAGUACUCCCAGGAAUGCCACUGGUCUUUCCACAGUUGUCCAGGGGUGGAGAAUCCACUGAGGGUCAAUGACUCUGUUACAGUCAUGUCAGUACCUUAAAGGUUUGUGGUGGGGGGCUGUGGAGGAGUUGGGGAGGGAUUAUAUCUGUAGUGUGUGCGUGUAUGUGAUGUGCAUGUGCAUGUAUGUAAUGUGUGUGUAGAUGUGUGUGAUGUGCAAUGUUUGUGCAUAUGCGUGUGCUUGUACCUGUAUGUGAUGUGUAUGCAUGGCAUGUAUGCAUAUAUAUAAUGUGUGUGUGUACGUGUGUGCCUGUGUGUGUGUGUAUGACACACCAGCUGAUCAAUGCCAGAACAAGAAGACCAAGGAAGAUUCCAGAGAUAAGACUGUCCUACAUCUCUGAUUGAUGGGCAUCUUUGAAGACGUAGGCUAGCAUCUAGAGGCUUCGAGAGGAAGCUCUGCAAUUUCAAUUCCUGUCUCUGCUACUUCGGAGCUACGUUACCUUGGGCAAGAUGUUUAAUUUCAGCAAGACCCAGUUUUUCUCGUCUCUGUAGAGGGGCAAUAAAAGGACCUACCUGUGGGUUUCAGGAAUUAGUGAAUUCAUGGAAAGCACCUAGCACUGGGCACAGAGCAAGCACACAGAUGUUGCCUGUUCCAAUUAUCACUGCUUCAGGAGACAGUUCUUCCUGGAGUCUAACCUAAGGCUGCCUGCCUCCUUCCCUGCCUCCGAGGGACUCCAUUCCCCUGAUCACCAUCUCUGUGUGACACAGUCCUCUUGACUUUAGCUGCUUGUCUUUGGGAAUGUCAAAACUCAACACUCCAGCUGUCCCCGGUUCAUGUAGCCCAGCCAGGAAGGAACCGGGGGAGCUGAUCACCAACUCUCAGCCUCACACGUACCUCGGGGACCCCAAAACAUUUUCUGGUGGCCCAGCAGACUGAAAAAGUCUGGCUGGGGUUUUCCCCCUUUGUGCCU
rnacentral:lncRNA from 1 species